AUGUUGAAUGUGAGAAUAGGAUGAAACUAAACAGAGAGGUCUUGGAUUUUUAUUUCAAGCAUUCUGUUUAGUUUUCUCCUAUAUCUCAUCUUCAACCU
rnacentral:pre_miRNA from 1 species